rnacentral:rRNA from 1 species
UACGAAGGGGGCUAGCGUUGUUCGGAAUUACUGGGCGUAAAGCGCGCGCAGGCGGUUCUUUCAAGUCAGUGGUGAAAGCCCGGAGCUCAACUCCGGAAAUGCCAUUGAAACUGUAGAACUUGAGGACGAGAGAGGUGAGUGGAAUUCCCAGUGUAGAGGUGAAAUUCGUAGAUAUUGGGAAGAACACCGGUGGCGAAGGCGGCUCACUGGCUCGUUUCUGACGCUCAGGCGCGAUAGCGUGGGGGAUCAAACAGG